CAGUCGCCCGGUAAUACGGAGGGAGCUAGCGUUGUUCGGAAUUACUGGGCGUAAAGCGCACGUAGGCGGCUUUGUAAGUUAGAGGUGAAAGCCUGGGGCUCAACUCCAGAAUUGCCUUUAAGACUGCAUCGCUUGAAUCAUGGAGAGGCGGGUGGAAUUCCGAGUGUAGAGGUGAAAUUCGUAGAUAUUCGGAAGAACACCAGUGGCGAAGGCGGCCCGCUGGACAUGUAUUGACGCUGAGGUGCGAAAGCGUGGGGAGCAAACAGGAUUAGAUACCCCCGUAGUCCCUGUCUCUUAUACA
rnacentral:rRNA from 1 species